AGCGUGUUCCACAGAGUCUCAUCAGGCACUGUUCAGGUGAGCAGUAUUUCUCUUAACAAUCAGAAGGUAAUGUGAUGAUACUGUAACCAAAAGUAUUAGCCUAUCGCUAUCUUUACUUACUUAUCCUUUCCUCUUAAGGUUUGGUUUUAGGCAGGUUGUGAAUCUGCUUGGAACAAAAGGUUAGCUCUGCUCUAGCCAGGAUACAUUUCUCCUGGCACCAGUCAUCCAAGCUGCCCUCGGAAAUGGCGCGAAAUUGCGCUCUAGUCGAACUGUUUACGCCUGCCAUGUUGGCGCAGUAGUUGAACUGUUUCCGCCCGCCAUGUUGGCGAGGUAGUUGAACUGUUUCCGCCCGCCAUGUUGGCGCGGUAGUUAAACUGUUUCCGCCCGCCAAGUUGGUGCUACCUUGUUUAUUUUGCUAACAGGAUUGCUGCUGCUGCUCCUGUAGCAUUUCCCAAACAGGCUGGUCAGUGAAAAAAGUUCGUCUGUUGAGUGCUGUCAGGGUUUGUCCCUAAAUUUUGUGAAGACUAAACUGGAAGAAAAGAGGAAUCGGUUGGCAGACUGGGACCUCCUGCGUCACAUCUUCACUAAGGGCAAGCCAAAGGCUGACAGCUUUGUUUGUGUUCUCCACUAAGUGAUUUUUAAUCAACUGGUCUGCAUGAGUCCUCCCAAGGGCCUGAGCGGCAGAGGCUGUGAGAGAUUGAGCAGAGGGCUGGUGGAUGGCUGGCCGGAGAUAGUAGAGACAGACAAAGUGGCAUUUCCUGACUGUUCCCAUCCCCGUCUGAGUUAUCUGACACCCAAAAAUACGGCUAACGGGGAAGCAGGGAGACGAGGCACCCACAGCCUUAUCCCGGAACAAGGUUUCAGAGCGAUGAUAACUUUUCGAGAGGAUGAGAGGAUGCACCAUCAAAACUGCAGUUCAGGCCACGUCCUUGCACAUCCAGCCUGCCUCUCUGCCCCCUAUCCACCUGCUCCUCUCUCCCUGCUGCCUUACCUGUACUCACCUGUGUCUGUCUGUGCAGCAAAGUGUCCACCACGGCUAUCACCAGUGGACAUGGAUCACCGAGGGGGCCUGUGAUUAACAGAUAGCACCUUGUCUCCUCCGCUGGCAGGCCAUCAUUACGACGAGCACUAGAAGAUAGGUUCUGUGGGAGAAAAGACCUUUUGGAAAAUGUCAGCGACAGUCAAAGCCCCAAAUUUUCCUCCAUUCACUCUUUACCAUGUGAUGCUACCUACUCUAAACCCCUUAAUUACACCACCCCAUCUUUCCUAUCGCCUAAUGUUUUGUAUCUAAGUACAGUGUCUGAUUUCAGAGCAUGUGGAGAUUUUAUUUUGUCUUAUGUGGCUUACCUGAAGAUUUAAAAAAACGAAAAAAAAAAAAAAAAAAAAAAAAAGCCCUAUAUUUCACCCAUAUCAGCAAAACCAAGCACUAUCAAACAAACAAAAAAACAGCAGUGUCUGCAACAGCUCCCCUUCCCCUUCCCCAGUCCCUUUCACUGGAGCCAGCUUCACUGUCUUAAUACUCUUAGUCCCUCAGUUGGCAUGUUUUCCAAGAACGCCGCUGCAUUUCCAGAUUUGUAAAAUCCGUCAAAAUGCCUGUAAUGAAUAUUUCUACAGCCUUGAUUGUGUUUAAUAUGCUGUUUGACCAGCCCAAUAAGAAACAUGUACUGAUCUGGCACCAGAGGGACCGCAGCAUCAGUAGAAGGUUUAUUGUCCGGGAAAAAAAAAACAAAAAAAAAACGUCUGGACUGUCUUUUAUCAAGUGAAGCAGAAACAUUUAUUAUUCAGAUAAUCUCUUCUUUCCUGUGCAUGAAUCUACAUGUCAUUUGUCAUUUGAAUUUUUUUUUAAAAGCUACUACUAUUAGUACAGUUGUCUUCAUGGAUUAACUGUCAUCUUGUGAGACAGGUCUUUGUUUCUCUACACCUACAUUGUACAGUCUGUUUUACUGUUGUUUUAGCUUUGCUGGAGAAAAAAAAAAAAACUCCUUUGCAUUUUAUUGCUGCUUAAGAAUAAAAUGUAGAGCUUUCCUGUCUUUUUCUUUUUCAAUUUAGGAGGUAAAUUAAUACCUCAAAGCGAGAAGUUAUGGAAAAGUUUUAACAUUUAAACCGUGUAUUAAUUUCAAGGCCUAAAUGCGCCCUCAAUUAUUUUACCAUUGCCCCUAAGUAAUUGAUUUUAGGUAGAGAAAGAGGGAGGAGGAGGAGGAGGGGGUGAUCUGUGUGUUAAAUCUGUGUGAAAACCGCAAAGCCAACAAAUGAAAAAUAACUAACGGCGUAAUUGCUGUGAGCAUUGUAACCUUGCUUUAUUGAUUUUUUUUUUUUUCAUCAAGGCAUUUGGCUUACAUCAAAGUUAGACCCAUAAUAACACAAGUUGUUUCACGGCUGCCUCUAAUAAUUUCACAUUUUGUUCCCUCGCUCAGCCUCUCGCUCUAUCAUUGACUCAUUCAGGUGUGUUCAAACCAGCCACACAAAGAUGAACACUUGUGAGGCUCGGGGUCCGGCGGUGUGUGGUGUGUGGUGUGUGAACGCGGUGAACAGACACAGACAGAACCUGCACGGGGACGAGAUAAUGAGCAUCUCAGGUGACUACACGCGGUGAUUACCAGGUUGCUGGUGUUAUAGGAACUAUAUCACAUAAACAUGCGCUACCGCUCUGUGCACACGCACACACAUUCAGAUGCACACUCGUGCACACACACACACUCUUGAGAGAUCCUUGGUUAUCACACCCUUCCAGAUUGUUCUGAACUACUUAUGGAAAACACACACACAUCUCAAGAUGUGGCCACUCUUGCCAAUAUGAGCCCAGUGUUAAGAACAGUUGUUGUCGUUGUCGUCGUGUGGUGUUUUUUUUAGCAUCUCUAAAUUCCUAGCGUUGCUAAGGUGCUUUGGGAGGGGAUUAACAGAGGCUGGCGCCGAUGAGCAAGCCUUGCAGAUUUCCAACCAGCAGGAAAAAGACAAAGAAAGAGGGGAAAGACGGAGGAAAAAACAGGAGAGGGUUAGACAACAGGGAAAUGGCAGGAACAGCUUGUGUAAACACGAUGACUUGAGAGAGGUAAAGAGGUAGAGAUGAAUGAGCGACGGAAAGUGAGACUAAAUAAUAAGUAUCCUAAAGAAGAUGCCUCAACUUUCACACUCUCUGUGUCCUUUUCCUCUCAAAUCUACAAUGUGUUCAUCUCCUCACUCUCUUUUCAUGUGCUCCUUCCUCUCCUCUCUGUUUCUUCCCAUCUCUUUAUUUCCCCCCACGGGCAACAGUUUCAGAUCCAGACACUUUUGUCUCCCUUUUCUCUCUGUCACAACUUCAAACAGCGCCGGCGUUCAGGUCAUGCUGAUGUGCCCGGAGCAUCGGUGACUGUGCCGUCUCAGGUGUACGUCUCCCAGCGUGUCCUUGAUGACACUCUCUCCCUUUCUCCCGUCUCGCUGCUUUUAAUUAGUGUAGUGAGCAGUGGAGGCAGCAAAGACAGCUGAGCCACAUUUACCAAUUAUCGACCUGCUCGUAGGUACCUCUGCCACCGCAUUUCAAUGCUUUUAAUACUUCUGCAGCUGGGAAAAAAAAAAAAACAUAAUUACACAUGAACUGAGCCAGAAGAAUGGAGAAUGUCUUGAUUCUCACUCUCUAAAUCCCUGGAUACUUGUUCAGAGAACAAAUCAGAGUGUGUUUUUCUCAAAGUAAAAUCUCCAUUAGCCAGAGCAGGCACACCAAAGGGAGGGUCCACAUGCUUUUCUUAGAAUCCUCUCCUCAGGCUCGCCGUCUCAGGUAGAGUGUAACUGGAUGCGGCCUGUUUGUGGAAUACAAGGCACUUGACCAAGGGCCAGCACUGCUCCUCCCUCCCCUC
rnacentral:lncRNA from 1 species